rnacentral:rRNA from 1 species
UACGUAGGGGGGCAAGCGUUGUCCGGAAUCAUUGGGCGUAAAGCGCGUGUAGGCGGUCCGGUAAGUCCGCUGUGAAAGUCGGGGGCUCAACCCUCGGAUGCCGGUGGAUACUGUCGGGCUUGAGUACGGAAGAGGCGAGUGGAAUUCCUGGUGUAGCGGUGAAAUGCGCAGAUAUCAGGAGGAACACCAAUUGCGAAGGCAGCUCGCUGGGACGUUACUGACGCUGAGACGCGAAAGCGUGGGUAGCAAACAGG